rnacentral:tRNA from 1 species
GCCUGAGUGGCGAAAUAGGUAGACGCACAGGACUUAAAAUCCUGCGGGAGUCAAAUCCCGUGCCGGUUCAAGUCCGGCCUCAGGCA